GAUGAACGCUGGCGGCGUGCCUAAUACAUGCAAGUCGAACGAAACUUCUUUAUCACCGAGUGCUUGCACUCACCGAUAAAGAGUUGAGUGGCGAACGGGUGAGUAACACGUGGGCAACCUGCCCAAAAGAGGGGGAUACACUUGGAAACAGGUGCUAAUACCGCAUAACCAUAGUUACCGCAUGGUAACUAUGUAAAAGGUGGCUAUACUACCGCUUUUGGAUGGGCCCGCGGCGCAUUAGCUAGUUGGUAGGGUAAAGGCUUACCAAGGCAAUGAUGCGUAGCCGAAUUGAGAGGUUGAUCGGCCACAUUGGGACUGAGACACGGCCCAAACUCCUACGGGAGGCAGCAGUAGGGAAUCUUCCACAAUGGGCGAAAGCCUGAUGGAGCAACGCCGCGUGGGUGAAGAAGGUCUUCGGAUCGUAAAACCCUGUUGUUAGAGAAGAAAGUGCGUGAGAGUAACUGUUCACGUUUCGACGGUAUCUAACCAGAAAGCCACGGCUAACUACGUG
rnacentral:rRNA from 1 species